GAUGAACGCUGGCGGCGUGCCUAAUACAUGCAAGUCGAGCGAACAGACGAGGAGCUUGCUCCUCUGACGUUAGCGGCGGACGGGUGAGUAACACGUGGAUAACCUACCUAUAAGACUGGGAUAACUUCGGGAAACCGGAGCUAAUACCGGAUAAUAUAUUGAACCGCAUGGUUCAAUAGUGAAAGACGGUUUUGCUGUCACUUAUAGAUGGAUCCGCGCCGCAUUAGCUAGUUGGUAAGGUAACGGCUUACCAAGGCAACGAUGCGUAGCCGACCCGAGAGGGUGAUCGGCCACACUGGAACUGAGACACGGUCCAGACUCCUACGGGGGGCAGCAGUAGGGAAUCUUCCGCAAUGGGCGAAAGCCUGACGGAGCAACGCCGCGUGAGUGAUGAAGGUCUUCGGAUCGUAAAACUCUGUUAUUAGGGAAGAACAAAUGUGUAAGUAACUAUGCACGUCUUGACGGUACCUAAUCAGAAAGCCACGGCUAACUACGUG
rnacentral:rRNA from 1 species